CCUGGUCUCUCUUGGUGCGUAGAUUAAUUGUCGCUCUAGCACCAUUUGAAAUCAGUUU
rnacentral:pre_miRNA from 1 species